rnacentral:rRNA from 1 species
GAUGAACGCUGGCGGCGUGCCUAAUACAUGCAAGUCGAGCGAACAGAUAAGGAGCUUGCUCCUUUGACGUUAGCGGCGGACGGGUGAGUAACACGUGGGUAACCUACCUAUAAGACUGGAAUAACUCCGGGAAACCGGGGCUAAUGCCGGAUAACAUUUAGAACCGCAUGGUUCUAAAGUGAAAGAUGGUUUUGCUAUCACUUAUAGAUGGACCAGCGCCGUAUUAGCUAGUUGGUAAGGUAACGGCUUACCAAGGCAACGAUACGUAGCCGACCUGAGAGGGUGAUCGGCCACACUGGAACUGAGACACGGUCCAGACUCCUACGGGAGGCAGCAGUAGGGAAUCUUCCGCAAUGGGCGAAAGCCUGACGGAGCAACGCCGCGUGAGUGAUGAAGGUCUUCGGAUCGUAAAACUCUGUUAUUAGGGAAGAACAAAUGUGUAAGUAACUGUGCACGUCUUGACGGUACCUAAUCAGAAAGCCACGGCUAACUACGUG